CACAUGCAAGUCGAACGCCCCGCAAGGGGAGUGGCAGACGGGUGAGUAACGCGUAGGAACGUGCCCAAAGGUACGGAACAACUCCGGGAAACUGGAGCUAAUACCGUAUGUGUCCGUAAGGAGAAAGAUUUAUCGCCUUUGGAUCGGCCCGCGUUAGAUUAGCUAGUUGGUGGGGUAAUGGCCUACCAAGGCGACGAUCUAUAGCUGUUCUGAGAGGAAGAUCAGCCACACUGGGACUGAGACACGGCCCAGACUCCUACGGGAGGCAGCAGUGGGGAAUCUUGGACAAUGGGCGCAAGCCUGAUCCAGCCAUGCCGCGUGAGUGAUGAAGGCCCUAGGGUUGUAAAACUCUUUCGUGGGGGACGAUAAUGACGGUACCCCAAGAAGAAGCUCCGGCUAACUUCGUGCCAGCAGCCGCGGUAAUACGAAGGGGGCUAGCGUUGUUCGGAUUUACUGGGCGUAAAGCGCGUGUAGGCGGAUUUGUAAGUUGGGGGUGAAAU
rnacentral:rRNA from 1 species